UACGUAGGGUGCGAGCGUUAAUCGGAAUUACUGGGCGUAAAGCGUGCGCAGGCGGUUUUGUAAGCCAGAUGUGAAAGCCCCGGGCUCAACCUGGGAAUGGCAUUUGGGACUGCAAGGCUUGAGUGCGGCAGAGGAGACUGGGAUUCCUGGUGUAGCAGUGAAAUGCGUAGAUAUCAGGAGGAAUACCGAUGGCGAAGGCAGGUCUCUGGGCUGACACUGACGCUCAUGCACGAAAGCGUGGGGAGCAAACAGG
rnacentral:rRNA from 1 species